CGAGCCCGCCUAUUUGGUCGGUUUCGGGCACGCCGACAGACCGCCGAACGGACAGGGUUUCCCCUGUACUGCGGACAGAGUCUCCCCUGUACAUUCAAGGCAACGCAAUCCAUACAAUACGAAGGUUCCAACCAGGAACUGAUAUCAAUCAAGAUUGCAUAAUGGAAGGUAUCAAACAAUAUAAACACAUCCUAUAUUAUUACAAACAUUUACAUUCAUACUUUUUACAUCACAGUUCUUUCUACAUUCUUUUUCAUCCAAAUGCAAUCUAAGUUAUCACAAAUUUAUUUACACGUUGAUACAUUGUGUUCUUUACAUUGUGUUUUAUUUUCAUUAAUAACACCCCAUACCCCUAAGCUUUGUCGACGGGGUACUGCUAACUCUGGUCUCUGGGUAGGGCGCUAUCUACGAAGCUACGCCCUUGCCUCGCGCCGCCGCGCCGCUCACGUGCGAACCUGUAACACCCCAAAACAACGUGGGGUGAGAACCAACUCCAUGGUUCCCAGUGGGUACGGCCACCCAAGGGAAAAGCUCGACCAAUAGGUCAAAGAGAGGCAACCUGCAGGUUAGUUCAAUAAACAGAUAGAUAUAUAUAUCUAAAUUAUGCAACUAAUGAAACCUUGCAUUGCCUCACGAUAUGCAAUAUGGAUAUCAUGCAUUUCUAUGCCACUAUGCAUCUAUAUAAUCCACUAUUCACUAGUAGGUCCAUUGACUCUACAUUCCACUGGCUAAUCUCAGCUCAAGUCCUUUACCCCUAAGGUUUCUACUUACCUUAGUUCCAUUACCAAGCUCAACUUGUUUCUAAGGUCUCUACUACCUUAGUUCUUGCCUUUGCCACUAGCUUUAAGGUUUCUAUUACCUUAACAAAGCUAUCCAUCCGACUCGGUCUUGAGUCAAUCAUCUGCGGAAUACCGCAUACAUCCAGACUCGAGGUAAUGGACGUCUCACAUACACCUCAGCCCCAAAAUCCACUCGACAAGGAUACCCAAUCUAUAGCUCAUAAUGCAUGCUUUUUCUCAAUCACUUUGGCUUUUACCCAAUCUUACCGGUUAACACUUGUUAACCCAAUAACUCACAAUCCAAAAUCCCUUAAUAACGGGGGACUCGAACCACCCUAGGGACCGUCUGCUGGACAAGUACGUUAGUCCAAGGGCAAGUACGUUAGCCCAUCGUGUGACAACUCCGGAGCUCACUGCCUGGGGGGGAGCGACCUCCACCAAGCUAAAAAACAGACUAUGUGAGUAAGAUCCAAUCCUCCUUUAGAGGAUUCAAUAACUGGCCACGCCACAAUUGAACUCUAACUAUCUCUUUAUGCUAGUUUCACAAUUUUAUUGCUCGAUGCUAACCAAAUCUCUAGUUAGAAUGUCACCAAGUUCACUAUUGUUAUAGUCCAUGCAUUCAUAGGGUUCUAUGUUCACAUUCUAAGAUUCACAAGUUCUUACUGUUGAUAGUAAUUCACAUUUUCACUCGCACAAUGCCAAACACCCUAUAAUGCAUGACUACGAAUAUAAAUAUGCUCAAAUACCAUAAGUGUCCUAACAUACAUGACACUAGGUUCACACUAUACUUAUUCAACCUAUGUUCAAGACACUAGGUUUAAUGCCACUUGAUGUCCAACCUAUGUUCUUUGACACUAGGUUAGAUGCUACUCGAUCUUUCCUAGGUUCGCGACACUAGGUUUCCUGUCAUUCACGUUCAACCUAUGUUCAUGACUUUAGGUUCACUGUCGUUUAGACCCGACCUAUGUUCUCUAACACUAGGUUCAUGUCAUUUCUGUUCAACCUAUGUUUGACUCAUCUGAAUCAAGCAUAUCCUCACAAUGCUCAUCAUGUAAUCAUGCACUUAGUUAGCAUUUCUAUAACAUGCAUUAUCUACAUUAUGCUCGUCAUGUAAUCAUGCAGCUUAGUUGGCAUUUCUAUAACAUGCAUUAUCUACUUGCAUUCAUCGACAUGCCUCUAUCCAUUAUGCCCAAAUGCAUUCUCUUAGCAUUAGUUACAUGCAUCUAUUCAUCUAGCAUUUCAUCAUGACAUGCUUAUAUGCACUUACUUAGCAUUUAUCAACAUGCAUUUAUCAACUUGCAUUCAUUAUCAUUCAUUUCUAUAUGAAUAUCUCAUCCAGCAUUUCAUAAUGUUCACAUGCAUUUCUACAUUAUGCUCAUCAUGUAUUCAUCUCACACUUUCCUCACAUGCUAAUAUGCAUAUAUCCAUUAUGCCAUAAUGCUCAUCAUGUAAUCAUGCAAUUACUAGCAUUACCAUAACAUGCUUUCUAUAUGCAUCAUAAGAAAUCAUAUUUUCUUAGACAUAAAGGCAACCUAGUCGCUUCGGUAAGCACAACCCACCUUGAUUCGCGUUCCGAUUGCUUGUCGACACUUGCAAUCGGCCUCCCGCGGCACCCGGUGCCCGGUUCGGCCCGAACUCGAAAUUACUCACCAACCGCGCAUCGCUUCGCAGCCCCGGGUAAAAAGGGUCUUCGUUUUGCUGUUACGGUGCUUCAAAUCCGUUUCCAGGAUUUUACGACGUCGCCUCGGCCCUCCAGGCGGAAACGAAGCCUAAACGUCCGUUUCUUUAAUAACUUCGCAUCGGCUCGACGAAUCGCCGAACCGUCUUCGCCAACGCGUUCGUUUACCUAGCAAUUAGGUUUACAGAGGGUCAAAUGAGAUCAAACCCUCAUAUUUUUAAAAAUUGCAUUUUGAACCCUAGGUUUCAAGUAUUACACGAAUUCACUAAAUUGAUCCUAAAUUCUAGCAUUUAUCUUCUAUUUAGCAUGCUAGGAUUCCAUUAUAACCAUUUUUAGAGCAUAAGGAUCAAUCCUUAGAGUUCUACCAUUAAAGGGUUUGAAGCUCACCUCUCAAAAUAGCUCCAAUGGAGAGGAAGUUGAUGAUGAAGAUGAAAAUCCAUCUUUAAGCUUACUUCUCCACCAAUUUCUCUCUUUUUUUGGGAGAAAUCUAGAGAGAGAAAGAGAGGGUUCUCUUCUCCUAUCCAUGCGUGUGUGGAUGUGUGUGUGUGUCUGCUUGCGGGUUGUGUACGCAGCUUGAGGGAGGAGAAGAAGGGAUUUAAUCCCAUUUUACCAUUUUGCCCCUCAACUAUACACUAUUCACUUCGGGCAGUUUAUUUUUCGCCGGCGUCCUUCUGGAUGUCCGUUUUUGCUCAAAUUUGACAGACAUGCUCGGUUUUACUUAAUAAGUUCAAAGAAAUUUUAAUAUUUCAGUUUCGACCCCGUUUGGUCACCGAAAACUGUACCGAACUGCAACCUUUCUCAGAUAGCUUUCGGAUUCGAUUUCUCUCUCUACGGGUGUCAGAAUAAUAUGAAACUUUAAAUCUGGCCUCAUAAAAAUAAUUCUGACAUAUCUGCCAAUUUUCAUAAUUUUCUGACACUGUGCAUUUUCUGCUAAUUUAUCUGCCCCGUUUCUCACAGAAAAUUCUCAAUCUUCUGUUUUCGCUCCGAUUUCAGCACAGGUCUUUCCCAAUCAAUAUUUCACUUCUCUAAACCCAAUAAAAUAGUAUCUCAUACUAUUUUUAUUUAUUUUCACUUCAUAUUUAAAAUCCGGUAUGUUACAUUCCACCGCAACCUCACCGGAACCAUUUAACUGUACACCGUGACUUCAUGCUUUUAGAAGUUCGGUAUGUUACAUUCUCCCCUCCUUAAUAAGAGUUUCGUCCUCGAAACUCAAAUAAAUCCAACGCCAAUUUGCACCCCAGCUCAAUUUAUCGAGUAUCAAGGCGUACAAUGCACUUUUCCACCUCAGAGUGGCCUUAUGCUCAUUGGAACUGUCCAAAGGCCCACCUCGGAGGAUGUGAGACCUGAUUCACUCACAUUUGCUAAGCGUAACUCCAAAAGUGCAUUACCAGCACACCAAGAGUUUUUCCUUGCGCUUCGCACCAAACCGGGAAAUCCACUCCGAUUCGAUCACCAGCAUUGCUUAGAAGCAAUAUCGUUGGUGCAUCGACCAAUCGCGAGUACUCCAAGCCCAACCGAAUCCUUGAUCCAUCGCAGGAUAGCCCACUCCGGCACAUCUUGCACCUCAACCCUCAAAAGAGCAUCAACUCCAAUUCUCACGUGGCUUCCAUUAGCUCAAUGUCUUAUAAGAGCACUUCAUCCUUUGAUAUUAUAAGCCACGACCAACACCAAUUCGCCUUUACAAAGAACUCACACGAACCCUCCGUUCGUGAAUCUAAGCCAAACGCAUCGCUAAGGCUAUCCGCUCAAUCACUUUCCUCAAAUCCAUAGGUGAACCAGAGGUCACCAAUCUUACGUAGGCCUACCGCCUAAACUCGGCUCAACUACGCGUAGCGUCGCUCGCUCACAACGUAGAUCCAAUCAGCACUAGGCGAAAUUCUCACUUGGGAAUUCGCACACACUCCAAACAGGAGUAACCAAGACCCCAAACCACGUCAAGUCCUUGGGUUGGGUCACUACACACCCUGUGUAUCCUUGAUCUCAUGAUCCAACACACGGCACUCCGCGUACUCGGGUCCAAGUUCGAACUACCGUCCUGACCAACACUCUGCCCUACCAGUAGGUAUCGGGCCGCUGUCUCUCACAGCUGACUGCGCCUGCCCAAUGGGUCCAGGCUCCACAGUCCACAAAUGGUCCAGGCACGGAUCGUCCUCAAGCGAUACCUGUCGUCGUCGUCCUACACGACAUGCUCUACAGAGCUACACACUCUAUCGGCUCCUAAGCACCUAGUGCGAGCCACCAGCCCCACGAGUGAUCCAUGGCCCGUUUCACAUUUAGCCCUGCUAAAGUGCUACUGCCAAUUCACUCAACCGGCUGAAUCGAAACCGCACUUUACGCGCAACUAUACUCGAGCGCUCUACGCCUCUACAGCGUUCCAACUAGGUCAAGCAUUAGGCAACCUUGCCUAUGCAUACCGACUACACGAGCAUGACUCGCCGACCUCAACUUGAGGUACUACUAGGCCAACGUGCCCGUAUUCGGCCGCUACACGACUACUCUCUCAACAGUGAUUCCACUUUCACUGUUCGAUCUAUCGAAACAACAUCCAAUAUGCUCAGGCUAUUCGGGUAUUCGCAACGUCACGGCGCAACUCUCGCAAUUCGAUACUCAUUGCCUUGAGAGUCGUUUCACCAUUUCGUGUUCACUACGAGUUUUAUUUCUCGUCCACGGACCAUUGCUAGCGAUUUGCUAGCACCACUUGGUUCUCUACCUGCUCCAGCAGGCGUCACAUUCUCACCGCAUAAGCAUGCUCGGGUAUCUACCUCUACCCGUCCCCAUGGUCCCUACUAUGCAAUGUAUAAAUAGUAGCAACUGACCAUACAAUAAAUGCAUGCUAUGCAUCAACUUGAGAUCAUGCAAAAGUAUAUGCUUGCUCAAUUAACUCAUACCUGCCACGACGUCGUCGGCAACGGCAGGCACCGCAACUCGAGUCGCUUAUUCAUGGCCACUUGGCACUCUCCGCGAACCCUCCGGUUGCGUCGUCCUCAACGGCUGCUCUCCCGACCAUGCCGCAGGUGGCACACAUGCAGGCUGUACCAAAGAGGAAUUGGCCGUCGCCAGCAUCAAGGCCCGACCGUCACCUUGCGGACACUCGUCCCGCAAAUGACCCGGCAGUCUACACUUGAAGUACUUGCCCUCACGCUGCCCACACUAUUGUGGAAAUGAAGGCCCCCCACAAAUAACACAUCUCGCCGAGGACCGAAUGUGGUAUGUCCCCGGAGCUUGGGAUCGAGAGCGCGAACUCAUCGAGGUCUGUUGGAAACUAGACCGACCACCGGAUCCACUCCCUGGCCGUCCUUUCCCUUUUUCUUUGUAGCACGCCUCGCGCUCCUCUCGCAAAGAAGCAUUGCCCUGUUCUACCCACAAGGCCCGAUCCAAGACUUCGACAAAAGAUUGCAACAUAAAAUUGUGCACGACCUUGUAAAGAUCCGGCCGAAGUCCUCGCACAAAGCAGUCAUCCUUACCCUUGUCAUCCCGUACCAUGUUCGGGAUACAAUACACGAUACGGGAGAAUUCCCGCUCGUAUUGCCUAACCGAACGGUCUCCUUGUCGCAGCUUCCGGAACCUCUCCUGAAGCUUCCUUUUCUCGCUGUCGGGGAAAUAAGCAGAGAAUAUCAUUCCCCAAAACUCUUCCCAAGCCAUAGGAGGGAGACUAGGGGAUUGAUUCCGCUCAACGCCUUCCACCACACCUUCGCUGACUGUUUACAUGCAACGCACGGCUAGGUGUACCCCGUCGCACUCUAUAGUGCACAAAUUCCCAAAGGGAGUCUCCAUGGAGUCGAUCCACAACUCCACGAUCAACGGAUCCGUAUCCUCUCCAUCGAAGGCAGACGGAUCAAAUCGCUUAAAGGUCAUGAGGGCCGCCGAAGCUUGGUCCUUCACCGCCUUCGCUUCUAAGGUGCUAGAAGUCGGACUGCUCGACCCCGACAGAAAUACUUUCGUCACAACUCCCGGUCGUGCUCGACGAACGGCAGCUGGUAUAGCCCGCAGCUGAUCUAUCGUUUCCUGGAGUCUUCUCACUCGCUCCUCCUGGCAUAUGGCAACUUUUUGCUGAUGCCGCACUAAUUCGGCUCGUCACCCCGCCACUCACAUAGUAGUGGCCAAUUUCUCGCGAAGUCCUAAAUCUCCGCUCGCCUCGGAUUGCUGAGGAACGACACUCGUCCCAUCCCGCGCCGAUCUACAUGAAGAUCGCCUACGCGGUGCCAUCGCUUCCUGAAACAGAACAACUCGAUUAGCUCUCAACCCUCUAGGUCAAGUACAAAACACGUAACAAAUACUCAAAUCGGGCGAAAGUCAUGCGAGGGCGUCUAUUCUCAUCGCUCGGUUUCAUGUUGUCGCGCGCCAACAUGAACACUCUCGGUUGAGAAUAAACCACACCUCGAGUCAACCUCUAACAUCCGUCUUAGAGGUUCAUAACACAACCCAAUCCAUAAUCCUUUCGCCACACGUCUCAAGUCCUCGUCUCUCACGAGCCUUAGCCUCUAUGGUUUUUCUAUCCUAGGGUCUCCUAGGUCAUCUAAACCAUUUUCCCAUUCUCUACUUUAUGCUCUGAUACCAUCUUAUCUGUCACGCCCCGAGCCCGCCUAUUUGGUCGGUUUCGGGCACGCCGACAGACCGCCGAACGGACAGGAUUUCCUCUGUACUGCAGACAGAGUCUGCCCUGUACAUUCAAGGCAACGCAAUCCAUACAAUACAAAGGUUCCAACCAGGAACUGAUAUCAAUCAAGAUUGCAUAAUGGAAGGUAUCAAACAAUAUAAACACAUCCUAUAUUAUUACAAACAUUCACAUUCAUACUUUUUACAUCACAGUUCUUUUUACAUUCUUUUUCAUCCAAAUGCAAUCUAAGUUAUUACAAAUUUAUUUACACGUUGAUACAUUGUGUUCUUUACAUUGUGUUUUUUUUUUCAUUAAUAACACCCCAUACCCCUAAGCUAUGUCGACGGGGUACUGCUAACUCUGGUCUCUGGGUAGGGCGCUAUCUACGAAGCUACGCCCUUGCCUCGCGCCGCCGCGCCGCU
rnacentral:lncRNA from 1 species